UGAUGGACAUAUGAUCUGAGAAUAAGUGAAUCAAGCAACAGGAAAUUAAAAUGGUGUCUCCGACAAUUGAUCUUUUGAAGGGUGAGAUUCCUCUUGAGCAGGAGUCCGUGGUUUUGCCCGAUGAUGCUCUCACCGGUCUUGUUCUUGUUGACAUCAUAAAUGGUUUCUGCACUGUUGGUGCUGGAAAUCUGGCACCAAGACAGCCUAACAGCCAGAUUUCUAGAAUGAUCAAAGAAUCA